rnacentral:tRNA from 1 species
UCGCAGGUGGCUCAGUAGGUAAAGAAUCUGCCUGCAGGGCAGGAGACACAGGUUCGAUUCCUGGGUUGAGAA